UACGGAGGAUGCAAGCGUUAUCCGGAAUGAUUGGGCGUAAAGCGUCCGCAGGUGGCAAUGUAAGUCUGCUGUUAAAGAGUCUAGCUCAACUAGAUAAAAGCAGUGGAAACUACAUAGCUAGAGUACGUUCGGGGCAGAGGGAAUUCCUGGUGUAGCGGUGAAAUGCGUAGAGAUCAGGAAGAACACCGGUGGCGAAGGCGCUCUGCUAGGCCGUAACUGACACUUAGGGACGAAAGCUAGGGGAGCGAAUGGG
rnacentral:rRNA from 1 species